CAAGGGUGUUGGGUGACACUCUGAGACUUGCUGGCUUCAGGUGAGACCCAGCAUAUUCCCAGCUGUGGUGGUUGAGAGGCGAUACUCGUUUUGCUUGAAAAAAACAAAAGUGGAAGGAAAAUAAAGGAGACUUUGUCGUGGUCCUUAGGUACCAGCUCGGCCAUAGGAGAGAAGAGCACCAACUGGGUCCCUUGGAUCCCUGAUUCCAGGACAUGGCUCUGAGAUGGCAUUUCUGGACCUUCCCUGGGCUACAGGGGAGCCCACUGCCCUUAAGGGAAACAUCAUUCAUCAAGAUUGUGGAGAGAGGACUUACUAGUAGAGAGCGGUUGAUUUCCCAAUACCCGGUUAACUCACUCUACAAAGGGUUAGCCCAGGCGCCUCAUAUUAGAGGCCCCUCCAAUACAUGAAUCAUUGAUAUCAAUUACUAAUAAAGAACUUACUUUGCACCAGGUACCACAUUAAAUGUUUUGCUUAUUUUAACUGUUAACCAUUUUACAUUUGAGGAAAUUAAGACUCCAAGGGUUACAUGGCUUACAUAAGGCAACACAGAGAUGAGCUAUAACUCAAUGCAAUAUGGCUCCAGUGUCUAUACUCUUAACUACUAUACUAU
rnacentral:lncRNA from 10 species